rnacentral:rRNA from 1 species
UCGGGUUGUCAGUGUGGGCAAGUCGCAUGGAAAUGCGCGCCGUGGAGGGUGAGAGCCCCGUCCAACUCACACAGGACAUACCCGCACGAGGGCGUUUCAGAUGAGUCGGGUAGCUUGGGAAUGCUGCUCUAAUCGGUGGUAAAUCUCAUCGAAGGCUAAAUAGCGGCUGGAGACCGAUAGCGAACAAGUACCGUGAGGGAAAGAUGACAAGCACUUUGAAAAGAGGGUGAAAAGAGCCUGAAACCGUCACGGGGGAAGCGGAUUGCGUUGGAUUGAUGGGCGCUUGUGUGUUCAGCCUUCGGGUGCAUUGGCACAAGUGCUUAUCCGCUGUGAGUUUUCGGGGGUCGAUUUUGGACCCCUGGGGACUGAGGGCUCCCUUUUUUAGGUGAGGACAGCGGAGUGACGACGCGAUACGACCCGUCUUGAAACACGGACCAAGGAGUCUAGCGCGGGUGCGAGUCGGAGGGUGCAAGCCCGUGGGCGAAGUGAAAGCGAGUUUUAAAAACGAGCAGUUUGGGGCGGCAUAAGAUCGUUGAUCUUAAGACCGACCCGGAGCAGUUGCGCUGGGACCCGAAAGAUGGUGAACUAUGCCGGAGUAGGGCAAAGCCAGAGGAAACUCUGGUGGAGGCUCGUAGCGGUGCUGACGUGCAAAUCGCUCGUCGAACUUGGGUAUAGGGGCGAAAGACUAAUCGAACCAUCUAGUAGCUGGUUCCCUCCGAAGUUUCUCUCAGGAUAGCGGGCCGACAAGUUGUUUUGUGCGGUAAAGCGAAUGAUUAGCGCAUUCGGGGGCGUUUAGCCUUUGGGCGAUUCUCAAACUUUCAAUGCGCAAGGGUGCCGCUGCUUAAUUGAGCGGUACCGGUAAAAACGUCGGCCCUGUGGGCCACUUUUGGUAAGC